rnacentral:rRNA from 1 species
UACGUAGGGGGCAAGCGUUGUCCGGAAUCAUUGGGCGUAAAGCGCACGUAGGCGGAUUGUUAAGUCAGGGGUGAAAUCCUGGAGCUCAACUCCAGAACUGCCUUUGAUACUGGCGAUCUCGAGUCCGGGAGAGGUGAGUGGAACUGCGAGUGUAGAGGUGAAAUUCGUAGAUAUUCGCAAGAACACCAGUGGCGAAGGCGGCUCACUGGCCCGGUACUGACGCUGAGGUGCGAAAGCGUGGGGAGCAAACAGG